rnacentral:sRNA from 1 species
UCUCAUUCAAGUCUUAGUUAGCCAAGUUCAUUCCAUUUAUAUAUCGGUAAGAACUGAAUCACAAGGUUGACUUUGGUUGAUCUGUUAAUAGAAAACGCAUGCAGCAUAACGAUUUUCACCAUAUCAUCAACCAGAGAGAAAAGCAACGCAAUGAAUUGAAUUAGCACCUUGAUUCUGUAAGCACAAGCAUCCAUGAUUAUGAAACAAGGAUCUGAAUUGAUUGAUGGACUGAAAGUGACAUAGAUUUACCUUGAGAGGGGGUUGAGGAAGAGAAAAACAAUUAAUCCAAAAUGUUUAACUGUGCCAUCUAUAUUCAGUUCUUGUAGAUCUGGAAGUUAAGAACUCCCAAUCAUAACCAGGCGAAUACAUACACAACAUAAUAUAUAUACAAUUUAGAAGUACUGAAAUAAAAAACCCAACAUAACUGCAUAUGCAAGUGAGAAAAUGAACAAAAAAACAGGUUUAAACAAUUAAAAUAAAAACUGUCCCCAACACAAGGUAGGAGAAAGCACCGAAACGCCUCACUGUCACUUGAAUCCCGAACACAUGCCACCAUCCUCUCUUGUUUCUUUUUUGCAAGAAUCAAGCCGAUUCAAAUACAAUCUUCAGAUUUAGCCAACACAAGAACAUCAAUUCAGCCAUCCAGAAAACAUAAACCUUUUCUAGGGUUGUAGGAAAGCAGCGGAUGAAGAUAGGAAGAGGAGGAGAUGAGAAAGCGAAUUAGGGUUUGUAUAUGCUUCCAUUCAACAGGUGAAGCAGCCACAUGAUCUGUUCUUACCAUUAAAGAAGGUAAACUCAGAUCAUGCUGGCAGCUUCAACUGCUGCAGGUGCACGAUAAGAGGGUCUAAAAAUAUAUAAUCCUCGGGGGCCUCCAUAGACUGUAGGAGCUUAUAGUCUUCGUCUAUACUUAUUCUGAGGGAGGCUAUGUGCAUGUAUGUAUAUAUAUACAGACAUCUUGUGUCGUUCUUCGUCGUCUCUCCAAGGUUGAGGAUUGCGUACAGAUAAGAGCGAUGGGAAGAUGGCAAACGUAUAGCUAGCAAAAGCAUAAUAAAAGUAUGUGGUUCCUUUUUAAUUUUUUGUCUCCCUCUUUUGUACGUUUUUUAUUAGGCUACAUUUUGGACCAUCUCCGGUUCUAAGUAGCUAGUUUUGCUGUUUCCAGUGUCA